rnacentral:rRNA from 1 species
UACGUAGGGCGCAAGCGUUGUCCGGAAUUAUUGGGCGUAAAGAGCUCGUAGGCGGCCUGUUACGUCUGCUGUGAAAUCCCGGGGCUUAACCCCGGGCGUGCAGUCGAUACGGGCAGGCUAGAGUUCGGCAGGGGAGACUGGAAUUCCUGGUGUAGCGGUGAAAUGCGCAGAUAUCAGGAGGAACACCGGUGGCGAAGGCGGGUCUCUGGGCCGAUACUGACGCUGAGGAGCGAAAGCGUGGGGAGCGAACAGG